UACGUAGGGGGCAAGCGUUGUCCGGAUUUAUUGGGCGUAAAGAGCGUGUAGGCGGCUGGGUAGGUCCGUUGUGAAAACUCGAGGCUCAACCUCGAGACGUCGGCGGAAACCAUCUGGCUAGAGUCCGGAAGAGGAGAGUGGAAUUCCUGGUGUAGCGGUGAAAUGCGCAGAUAUCAGGAAGAACACCCGUGGCGAAGGCGGCUCUCUGGGACGGUACUGACGCUGAGACGCGAAAGCGUGGGGAGCAAACAGG
rnacentral:rRNA from 1 species